GUAUCCAGCUAUAAGAUAUGUUUUCGCUAACUAUCUUAUCAAAUAGAGAUGUGAAGAUUUUUUAAGUUUAGUUUGGUAUUGAGGCCUAUCUGAUCUUAUUAGAUUAAAUGGAGUUAGGGUAAAAAUGUAUAGGAAUAUAUUUUUGCGUUCUCUGGUGGGACCGUAGAAAAUAUAUUAUAAUCGACUUAUCGCAAUAUACGGAACGCAAUAUUAGAUAUAUGCAGAAAGCUAUCUAAUUGUAAUAUACUCGAUUUGAAAAAAAAUUUACUUCUUAGGCUUUACUUGAGAUUGCGGGGAGAUUGCAUUACGUACAGUGAGAAAGUACGAUGAAAAAAUAUCAUGUUUGUUUCUAUACAUAAUAUUGCAUUCCGAGUCGGUUAUGAUAUACUUUCUGCUGUCUUACCGGAGAACGCUGAAGCAUAUCUAUAUAUGUUUUUAUCCCAAACUUUAUUUUAUCUAAUAGCGUUAGAUAGGGCUCAAUACCAAACUAAGCCUUACUUGUUUAUAAAAUUUGGUAAUAAUUUCAAUUCUCGGCCAUCUAAACCUCAAUAUA
rnacentral:lncRNA from 1 species